CCUUUCACUACUGUCCACUAGGAUUUCAGCAGAUACUCUAUAAGGGCAUGGCUGGGUUUGUUAAAGUCCGGAGAAAGAACUUUCAAGAACCAGCAAAGAAAAUAUGUCAAAACUCCAAAUUCUAAAGAGCUAGCCCAUCUGGGCAGAGCAACAAGAUUCCAAUCAAGAAUGAUGCAGAGAAGCCAUGUAAUGAAAGCCAAGACCAAACUGGGACUCCAUGAUGCAACUGUCAAAAGCCCCAGGAGCCAAGGGCAACUUUCAGACUUGAGAACCUCUGCAAUGAGUCAGAUCUGCUACACUUUAGUAUUGGGCAACCAUCAUGGUGCGAUGAUCUGCUAAGCCUGAAAAUGAAGAUUUAUGCUGGAAAGCCUGGCAGACCCUAAAAUGCAGCAUUGCAAGUCGUGGGAAUGUAAUAAUGUGCCCAUUGGAAAACUGAGAACUGAUCCAAUAGCUCGUGGAUCCAUGUUCGGAAACGGUUGUUGUGUUCCAGGUGAUAAAGAAGCAAAUGGCCAUGAAGCCUUCCAGUCUAAGCACCUGAGAGAAAUCCAGAGCCAAGCAUUUCCUC